rnacentral:rRNA from 1 species
UACGUAGGGGGCUAGCGUUGUCCGGAUUUAUUGGGCGUAAAGAGCGUGUAGGCGGCCAAGUAGGUCCGGUGUGGAAACUCGAGGCUUAACCUCGAGAUGUCAUCGGAAACCAUUUGGCUAGAGUCCGGAAGAGGAAAGUGGAAUUCCUGGUGUAGCGGUGAAAUGCGCAGAUAUCAGGAAGAACACCAAUGGCGAAAGCGCUCUGCUAGGCCGCAACUGACACUGAGGGACGAAAGCUAGGGGAGCGAAUGGG